CCUACGGGAGGCAGCAGUGAGGAAUAUUGGUCAAUGGGCGAGAGCCUGAACCAGCCAAGUAGCGUGAAGGAUGAAGGUCCUAUGGAUUGUAAACUUCUUUUAUAGUAGAAUAAAGUGAUCCACGUGUGGAUUUUUGUAUGUAUACUAUGAAUAAGGAUCGGCUAACUCGGUGCCAGCAGCCGCGGUAAUGCAG
rnacentral:rRNA from 1 species